UGAAAGAGGCCGUGGGGGUGUCCGGGGUGCUGUGGGGCGCCGCGUGCUGUGAAUAAUUAUGGAAUAAAAUGCAUCUGUAUGGACGAUAAUGACAUGGCUAGUCAAAUGCUCAGCGCUUGAUUUACGUUACCCGGAUGCGUAGGAAAAUGGGAUCGGGGAAAAUGCAUAGCGUCGUGCUUUUUCUCAUUCUUUGCAACAAGGCUUAUUCCUUAGACUGCUGUCACGACCUCAGCAUUCCAAUCACCAGAGAACUACAGAAGGAUGGAUUUCAUAGGGAUCUGGUGACAUCACUGGAGCUGCCCUGGUCUGCCAGCAUGACUGGCUGUCGGGUCUUGAUCGUCGAGCGGCUGCCCAGCGGAAUGUAUGUCGACCCCUAUCAGCUGGCCCGUCUCCAUAGCAACCAAUACCGCGUCGAUGGCCCCGUCGACGUCGAAGCCAUGGCACAUGACUCCGAUUGGCUGCGGGUGCUGGCGUGGGCGGAGCUAAAUGCCACAGAGGGUGCGCAGACGGGUCACGUGACUGUGCAGAUAACACUGCCGGUGCACGCGCGCUACCAGCGGGCCGACGAGACGGAGCGGGUGGCGGCCCGUCUACAUUGACCCGCCCCGGGUGUACCUGGGUUGCGACUGGGACAGCGUGGACGGAUGUAGCUGCGCUAUGACGUCACUGCCGUGCCGGGCGGUGGGUGGAACCGCCUGCAGCUACGAACCCAUCCAGCUGGAUCACGGCCCGACGGUAGUGCUGCCCGUGCCGCUGGGGGACCUGCGAGACCUGGAGCUGGUGCUAGUGGGCACGACAGUGGCCGUCACCGCUAGCUGUCUGCUCCUGCUCAUGGUGGUCUUCAACAAGCAGCUGCAGCCGCCGUGACCGCACGCGGUGAGGCAGCUUCUCCUCCCGCACAUGGCAGUCAACAAGCAGCUGCAGCUGCUGCAGCUGCUGCCAUGGCAGGGGAGCCUCGAGGAGUCGCGCUGGCUCCCGUGUUUCAGCGAGGAAGCGGCUAUGUCAUGCGCAACGGCCGAGCCCUGGCGGAGUCCUGUCCUGGCGAAGGCACUGGCGGACGUGUGUUGCCAGCGGCCCGGCGUGUUACUGGCGGCGGCUCGCGCGAGCUCGAGGGGGGAGGGGGUCGCUCCGGUUCGCCUCAGCCACCGCACGGCUGGGACAGGGCGGUCGGUCGUAGCGCAGGCAGCGGCGGUCUCGGAGGCGCGCUCUCGUGGGUCAGCUGCGGGCGCCGUGGCCGCGGACAGUCCUUACAAACAUCCCCUCCCGUGGAGCCAACUGUGGGUAGGACCGAGGCGAGAUCCUGAAAUGGGCGUGAAGUCGAUGCCAGGAGUCGCUGACUCUCCGUCGUCGAUCGUCGGAUCUGGCUCUUGCCAUCCCGGCGCGCGCGUCAGCGUAGUGGCAGCAGUGUUCAAAAUGGGGCGGAUCGAAUGGCACGUGCCGGCACUGUGGAUGUGUUUCUCGACGUGUUCUGCUUCAGUGCAGUAUCUGCAGGACGCCUGAUUCUUCAUGCUGGUUAUCAUGGAGCGGGUGUGAGAGACGACAUUGCUAUUUGUGUGAGUACUUGCAAUCGCUUGUUCACGGGAAGGACACGGACGGAGGAUCGGGCGUUUUAAUUGGCCUGAACAUGGCUUGAGUGCAGUUACGUGGAUUUACAACUGCCGUGUAAUCGUCCGUGACACGUGAAGCUUUGCACAAUCAUUUGUGUCGAUUGACAAGUGGUGUGGAAUUCCAGAAUGACUAGUCAAAUACAAGUGUUGUAAGUGCU